rnacentral:lncRNA from 1 species
AAUAUGGCUCGACUGGAAUUGGGUUGUAUCCCAAUACAGCUAGAUUUAGAUUUCUUAAUUGUGCAAAAACCAAGCGAUGUACUCAUCAUUGUUUUACUUUUCCUUUAAAUACGUUUUUCUGCAUUUGAAUGUUCAUCAACCUACCAAACACAUUUUAUUCAUUGCAACUGAUGUAGUUUUUUUUUCUUAUUAUUCAUUGCAGUUUGGAACUGUUGAGACUGAGACUAUGAGAAUUUAGGAUUUAGACUUGUUGGCUGUUACUGUUUGGACUUGGCUCAGUUGGCACUUCUCCCGACUCCUGUAGAAUGUAGUCACUGCUGUUGUUGUUUAUUGCAUGUUGGCUCAGUUGUGUUGUUGCUGUUGAUCUAAGUAUCAUUCAUGUUUUUAUAAUAUGUCUUGACACAGACACUUGAUUGCUGCUGCCUGCUGUUAAUCUUUAGACUUGUUGAUUGCUGUUGUUAAUCUUUAGACUUAAUAUCACUGUGUAUUGUUAAGUUAGGCAGCGUUGUUGUGAACUAUUAAAUUCAGUUAUUAACCGAAUAAUUAAUUCGGUUAUUCGGUUAUCAUAUAUUUCGGUUAGUUGUUCGGAUAUUCAAAACAGUGUAAUUUCGGUUUUCGGUUAUAACCGAAAUGUUUAUUCGGUUCAGAUAAUAACUGAAUGCUCACUCCUACCAGAGAGGGUCAAAAGGUGAAAGGAUAAGUCAGAAAAUUUUAUGACCUUUCAC